GACAGAGGGUGCAAACGUUGUUCGGAAUUACUGGGCGUAAAGCGCGUGUAGGCUGCUCGGAAAGUCGGAUGUGAAAGCCCUGGGCUUAACCUAGGAAGUGCAUUUGAAACUUCCGAGCUGGAGUUCUGGAGAGGAAGGCGGAAUUCUCGGUGUAGAGGUGAAAUUCGUAGAUAUCGAGAGGAACACCGGUGGCGAAGGCGGCCUUCUGGACAGUGACUGACGCUGAGACGCGAAAGCGUGGGGAGCAAACAGG
rnacentral:rRNA from 1 species